rnacentral:siRNA from 1 species
CUGGUGUCGGUGCCGGUGUGCA